CCUCAGUAACGGCGAGUGAAGCGGCAACAGCUCAAAUUUGAAAUCUGGCCUGCCUCAGGUCCGAGUUGUAAUUUGUAGAGGAUGCUUCGGGCGAUGGUCCCUCCGAGUCCCUUGGAACAGGGCGCCUUAGAGGGUGAGAGCCCCGUACGGUUGGAACCGAAGCCUGUGUGAAGCUCCUUCGACGAGUCGAGUAGUUUGGGAAUGCUGCUCUAAAUGGGAGGUAAAUUUCUUCUAAAGCUAAAUACUGGCCAGAGACCGAUAGCGCACAAGUAGAGUGAUCGAAAGAUGAAAAGCACUUUGAAAAGAGGGUUAAAUAGCACGUGAAAUUGUUGAAAGGGAAGGACUUAUGACCAGACUUUCUCCAUGGUGAUCAUCCGGUGUUCUCACCGGUGCACUCUCCGUGGUCAAGGCCAGCAUCGGCUCUGGUGGGGGGAUAAAGGCUUCGGGAAUGUAGCUCCCUUGGGAGUGUUAUAGACCGUUGCAGAAUAUCUUCACCGGGACCGAGGUUCGCGCUUCUGCAAGGAUGCUGGCGUAAUGGUCAUCAGUCACCCGUCUUGAAACACGGA
rnacentral:rRNA from 1 species